rnacentral:tRNA from 1 species
GCACUGCUAGUGUAGUGGUUAUCAUGUCACUUUCCCAAAGUGGAGGUCGCGAGUUCGAAUCUCGCGUAGUGCA